rnacentral:lncRNA from 1 species
CUGACUCACACAGAGGCAGCUUCCAGCCUUCCACAGUUCUUCCAAUUCGACACAGUUAUUUAUUUAUUUUUUUAAGGUCCAAACUCCUGUGCAGAGCAAGCAUCCAAAUGCUGUCAUCCUCUCAGCCCCAUGCUCUAGCUCAUUUUUCACACCACUGGAUUUAAUUUACUAUUAUCGUGCCUGGAAUGUGUUUGCAUCUGUAUUCUUGAGAGAUUGCUAUACAGCUCAUUUGAGGCCUCACAAGAUUAAAACUUGAUGCUUCAGACCCUCUGAGCCCCUUUGUCUGCGUGGAACGGGUCUCUAGUCGCGGGUGGACAAAGCGUAGGAUGAGUGACAAACAGACGCACACAGGAGAGGUCGAGGAAUCUGAAUGUCAUUUUUCAAAUCGAGCAUCAGACUUUUUAUGCAGAAGACAAUAAGGAAGUUGGAUGACAUACCUGCAAGGUACAAAUGAGCUUUCCCAGAUAUCUCUGAAGAUACCAUUUUGAAUAGGACUCACAUCACUCACUGCCUUGGAAAACAAAUUCGGGGGACCAAAGCAGAGACAAGCCACAGCAAGUAAACAAAGCUCUAGAGGAGAAGCGUUCCACUGCAGCCCCACGAAUCUGCAUGUCUAUCACACCCAGUGCCUGUAUCAUGGGUCUCUGGACUCUCCAGGGAUUUUCUGAAAGCCUGGUUGUUCUUCCAGAAGGGACAGAAGUGCCACUAGCAAGAAAAUCACCUCACCUGUGGCUCUCUAGGCCCCUAACCUAUACCCCUUUCCAAAUUGGAGAGUUUGAGAAAUCCUAAGACCAUGUCUGACUACAAAGUACCACUGUCUUGAGUUUGUAAUGCUCUUCUCUCUGGAUUGGAGCCAGGAUCCACCUCUGUGGGUGGGGAGAGCAGUGUGAAUUGUUUCCCAGAGAAACCCCACUUGGUUUCUUCUCUGUGUUGGACUCUUCAGGGUGGAGAUCACUCUGGCCAUGCAUAAUCAGAUUAACAUCAACGGUCCUUUACUCUGAAGAAGCCAUGGAGACCCCUCUUGCUGAUUAAGCCAGCUCAGGCUCCUGUGGAUGCUAUGGCCCUGGGCACUGAGCCCAGCAUCUGAACUUGUUCCUGGACCAGAGGUUCGAGAUGUCCACUUCUGAGGCCAUUUACUUCUUUGUGGGCCACCAGCUGUU